AUGCUUACCUGGCAGGUGGCGAUGUCAUGGUCAUGACCGAGGUUUUUCCAGGGCAGGGCUUGUCCAUUGCACUAAGAUUUGCUGGCCGCUGCCAUUUCCCUAGAUGUGGAAAACUCAAUUGCAUCAUUUGAGGUAGUGGAGGACUGCUUUCACACUCUCCUG
ensembl:snRNA U1 U1 spliceosomal RNA